rnacentral:tRNA from 1 species
CGGAUCGUGGCGCAGUAGGGAGCGCGUCGCAUUCGGGAUGCGAAGGCCGCCGGUUCGAGCCCGGCCGAUCCGA